rnacentral:rRNA from 1 species
UCGGCAAUGGGCGAAAGCCUGACCGAGCGACGCCGCGUGUGGGAUGAAGGCCCUCGGGUUGUAAACCACUGUCAACGGGGAGGAAAUACAGAAGGGCUAUCCCUUUUGUUUGACCUAUCUGUGGAGGAAGUACGGGCUAAGUUCGUGCCAGCAGCCGCGGUAAGACGAACCGUACAAACGUUAUUCGGAAUCACUGGGCUUAAAGGGUGCGUAGGCUGCGCGGUAAGUUGGGUGUGAAAGCCCUCGGCUCAACCGAGGAACUGCGCUCAAAACUACCGUGCUGGAGGGAGACAGAGGUGAGCGGAACUCAGGGUGGAGCGGUGAAAUGCGUUGAUAUCCUGAGGAACACCGGUGGCGAAGGCGGCUCACUGGGUCUCUUCUGACGCUGAGGCACGAAAGCCAAGGUAGCAAACGGGAUUAGAUACCCCGGUAGUCUUGGCUGUAAACGACGAGCACUUGAUUGAAGGGUCCUCCAUAGCCUUUCAGUCGUAGCGAAAGUGUUAAGUGCACCGCCUGGGGAGUAUGGUCGCAAGGCUGAAACUCAAAGAA